GAGAUUCCCUGUGCAGAUGAGGAGGAGCCUGUGAUGGUUAAGCUUUUAAAAUGCCAUUGCAAAUUUGGAUGCUGCAGACCCAAUGGUCAAGACUGUAAAAGCAUGGUAACACACUGGAAGCUGAAAAUACUGCAGUGGUUAUCACCUAUUUUCCAUCUCCUGGGGUAUAAGACCUUGUCAAAAUCAAAUGGCAUUCACUCCCCAAGAUGGCACCAACCAUUCCAGUUGGCUCAUGUAUUAGAGAAGCAAACAGCUCAAGAAAGCCAGUAUGAAUGUGGAUCCUUCUACAGAUCAGGUUUGUGAGUCAGCCACAGAAAGGAGGCACACUGGUUAAUUCAUUAUUAUUUAUUAGCUGUACAGCAGUAUAUUCUCCUUCCCAAAGUCCAAACCCCAUUAUGUACUUUUAUAACAUUUUAUCUCAUGUUGGUUUCCUAAAAUAAUGAAAAAUAUCACACAGUACAGCUAAGUACAAAAAUGCAUCAACCUAGAAUUGGAUAGCUAACCUGAUAGCUCUCUUAAAAGCGAUACAUAGAAGAAAAUUCUGUUUGAAAUCAGCAAGACUGAGGCUCUAUAAAAAGCUUACUUAUUUUAACAUGUGACAGUUCAUAUACAGGCAUCAUUUGUAUUUCACAUUAUUCUUUUUUCUUUUUAAUUAAAGACCCAAAAAUCUUGUAAUUACUGACCUAGUAAAAUUUCCUGGCCUAGGUUUCAGGGGCUUGGGAAGCCCCAUUACAAAUUACCACCUCGGCUUUUAACACAGAAUUCAUAAACACAAAAACAGAGCAAAGAAAGUGGAGUCGUGAAAAUUUGAAACUCAAAAAAAGAGUUAAA